CAGUAGCCGCGGGAAUACAGAGGGUGCAAGCGUUAAUCGGAAUUACUGGGCGUAAAGCGCGCGUAGGUGGUUUGUUAAGUUGGAUGUGAAAUCCCCGGGCUCAACCUGGGAACUGCAUCCAAAACUGGCAAGCUAGAGUAUGGUAGAGGGUGGUGGAAUUUCCUGUGUAGCGGUGAAAUGCGUAGAUAUAGGAAGGAACACCAGUGGCGAAGGCGACCACCUGGGCUCAUACUGACACUGAGGUGCGAAAGCGUGGGGAGCAAACAGGAUUAGAUACCCCGGUAGUCCCUGUCUCUUAUAC
rnacentral:rRNA from 1 species